rnacentral:rRNA from 1 species
GACGAACGCUGGCGGCGUGCUUAACACAUGCAAGUCGAACGGAAAGGCCCUGCUUGCCGGGUACUCGAGUGGCGAACGGGUGAGUAACACGUGGGUGAUCUGCCCUGCACUUCGGGAUAAGCCUGGGAAACUGGGUCUAAUACCGGAUAGGAGCCAUUUUUAGUGUGAUGGUUGGAAAGUUUUUUUCGGUGUAGGAUGAGCUCGCGGCCUAUCAGCUUGUUGGUGGGGUAAUGGCCUACCAAGGCGGCGACGGGUAGCCGGCCUGAGAGGGUGGACGGCCACAUUGGGACUGAGAUACGGCCCAGACUCCUACGGGAGGCAGCAGUGGGGAAUAUUGCACAAUGGGCGCAAGCCUGAUGCAGCGACGCCGCGUGGGGGAUGACGGCCUUCGGGUUGUAAACUCCUUUCGCUAGGGACAAAGCUUUUUGUGACGGUACCUAGAUAAGAAGCACCGGCUAACUACGUG